UUACGGCCAUAUCACGUUAAAGCACCGGUUCUCGUACGAUCAGCGAAGUUAAGCAACGUCGAGACUAGUCAGUACCUAGAUAAGUGACUGUUUGGGACUGCAAGUUGAUGUAAU